rnacentral:lncRNA from 1 species
CUGGCGUAUCAUAAACAAACAACUUGUAACGUCUCAUUUCAUUGGCCGAAAGAUUCAAAUACAACAGCAAUGUAGUCAGUGUGCACGUGAAUUGACACAGAUGGACGACAAUGGAAUUUACUAUGUUACUACAAACGUUAAAACAAGGAUUUGUAUAGUUUACAAACCUUUGGUCAAAAGAAUUAAAUAAAUGUUUUGUUAACUUCAAAUAGUG